GUCCUGGGGCUGAGCAGUGGUGCAACCCAGCCCUGAGGAAUUCCGGGAGUGGAGCCGACUUGGAAACUCAAGGCCAAUCUCAGGUUGAGACAUGGGAGCUCAGGAGGGGGAAUUGCACUGAAGAUUUGUCCCAUCGUGAAGCAAGAGCACUGGAACUUACACUCCACCAUCAGGCCCUGUCACAGGAGAACAAAGAAGGAAGGCAGAGGAGAUCAUGCUCCGGCCAGCAGGGAAUCUCCAUUUUUUUCAGCCUCAUACCUUGGAAAGUACAAAGGAGUGAGAGCUGGGACUACCAGCCAGAGGGUUCAUGGAGGUAGUGGGAGGGGAAGAUGGGUUCUGCAUGGAGCCACUCCAGGGACUUUUCUUCUGUCUCACAGCCUGACAAUCACCUCUAGCUGUUCUCAGUCCCAUUCUCAUCAAUGACCUCGUCUCCUGAUUUUGUACAAUAUCUAGGUGACCUUCUCUUCUUUCCAUCUUCAAACGCUUGAUCAUUGAUGCUCCCUUUUCUCUUCUCUCUCCUCCUGGGAAAAGAGAAGGACCAACAUCCCCCUUUCCCUUCCUCCUGUGCUGUCCCGACCCCUCUGAGACCUGGCUCUAGCAGUAAGUCCCUCUCUCUUCUGCAGCACCAGCCUCUGCCCAUCCCUGCCCUCUGCACACAAAGCUCUCACAUUGUCUGCACUUUAAGAACUUUUGUGGCAAACCCUGGCAAAUCCUGCCACUUGUUUCCACUCUUCUCAAAUGGCUUUGAGGUCAUCAUUGACCUAUCCCAUUUGACCCUGUCCUGUAUCUGAUGUUGUACCCUUUCUCCUUGAUCCCACUCUGGCAACUCUCCCACUCCCCUUUCUUGGAUCAACUGUCUUGCUCCUCAGUCUUGAUCAAUGCCUCCUUCUCUCUCUUUAGCCUUGGCCCUUUUUGGCCAGGGAAAUAAAUGUGAAAUACAUAAAGCUUCAUUUUAUCUUAUGAUUAUAGCUAUGUUGAUGUUACCCAAGACCUAAAAGUCACACUCUCUAAUUACACUUCCCUCCUGUGUUCUGGGUCCUCUUGGACCAGUCCUUACUCUGGCUCCCCUCCUGGAUGUCUCCCAGACUUCUAAUUAGAAUUACUGUUUCCUAUAUCAAGCUAAUUAUCUUUCCCACCAACCUCCUCCAUCCUUGGGUGAAAGCAUCACUUGGUUGCAAAAGUCAGAAAUCUGGGUUUCAUUCUUGCGGUAGGUAGAAUAAUGCCCCCAGGCCCCAGGUUUUGACAUCCGAAUCCCUGGGACUUUGCAGAUGUGAUUCAGUUUAGGAUUUUGAGAUGGGGAGAUUAUCUGGGAGAGCCUGAUGUCAUCAUAAGGUUCUUAUAAGAGGGAGGCAGGAGGGUUAGAGUGAGUAGUAAGAGAUGCAACAGUGGAAGCAAGAGGUUGGGGUGAUGUGGCCACAAGCCCAGGAGUGCUGACAGACAUCAGAAGCUGGAAGGGACAAGGAAUGGUUUCUCCUCUGGAGCCUCCAGAAAGAACCAGCCCUGCUGACACCUUGAUUUUAGCCUUGGAAGACUCAUUUUGGACUUCUGACCUUGAACGUUGUAAGAGAAUAAAUUUACAUAUUUUAAACUGG
rnacentral:lncRNA from 1 species